rnacentral:rRNA from 1 species
CACGUAGGGGCCAAGCGUUGUCCGGAUUUAUUGGGCGUAAAGAGCUCGUAGGCGGCUCGGUAAGUCAGGUGUGAAACCUCCAGGCUCAACCUGGAGACGCCACCUGAUACUGCUGUGGCUAGAGUCCGGUAGGGGAGCGUGGAAUUCCUGGUGUAGCGGUGAAAUGCGCAGAUAUCAGGAGGAACACCAGCGGCGAAGGCGGCGCUCUGGGCCGGAACUGACGCUGAGGAGCGGAAGCGUGGGUAGCAAACAGG